GACGAACGCNGGCGGCGUGCCUAAUACAUGCAAGUCGAGCGAAGUUUUUCUGGUGCUUGCACUAGAAAAACUNAGCGGCGAACGGGUGAGUAACACGUAAAGAACCUGCCUCAUAGACUGGGACAACUAUUGGAAACGAUAGCUAAUACCGGAUAACAGCAUUAACUGCAUGGUUGAUGUUUAAAAGUUGGUUUUGCUAACACUAUGAGAUGGCUUUGCGGUGCAUUAGCUAGUUGGUGGGGUAAAGGCCUACCAAGGCGACGAUGCAUAGCCGACCUGAGAGGGUGAUCGGCCACACUGGGACUGAGACACGGCCCAGACUCCUACGGGAGGCAGCAGUAGGGAAUCUUCCGCAAUGGGCGAAAGCCUGACGGAGCAACGCCGCGUGAGUGAAGAAGGAUUUCGGUUCGUAAAGCUCUGUUGUUAGGGAAGAAUGAUUGUGUAGUAACUAUACACAGUAGAGACG
rnacentral:rRNA from 1 species